UACGUAGGGUGCAAGCGUUAAUCGGAAUUACUGGGCGUAAAGCGUGCGCAGGCGGUGAUGUAAGUCAGAUGUGAAAUCCCCGGGCUCAACCUGGGAACUGCAUUUGUGACUGCAUCGCUGGAGUGCGGCAGAGGGGGAUGGAAUUCCGGGUGUAGCAGUGAAAUGCGUAGAUAUGCGGAGGAACACCGAUGGCGAAGGCGAUCCCCUGGGCCUGCACUGACGCUCAUGCACGAAAGCGUGGGGAGCAAACAGG
rnacentral:rRNA from 1 species